UACACUCCUACGGGAGGCAGCAGUGGGGAAUAUUGGACAAUGGGCGCAAGCCUGAUCCAGCCAUGCCGCGUGAGUGAUGAAGGCCCUAGGGUUGUAAAGCUCUUUCACCGGUGAAGAUAAUGACGGUAACCGGAGAAGAAGCCCCGGCUAACUUCGUGCCAGCAGCCGCGGUAAUACGAAGGGGGCUAGCGUUGUUCGGAUUUACUGGGCGUAAAGCGCACGUAGGCGGACUAUUAAGUCAGGGGUGAAAUCCCGGGGCUCAACCCCGGAACUGCCUUUGAUACUGGUAGUCUUGAGUUCGAGAGAGGUGAGUGGAAUUCCGGGUGUAGAGGUGAAAGUCGUAGAUAUUCGGAGGAACACCAGUGGCGAAGGCGGCUCACUGGCUCGAUACUGACGCUGAGGUGCGAAAGCGUGGGGAGCAAACAGGAUUAGAUACCCGGGUAGUCCC
rnacentral:rRNA from 1 species